rnacentral:rRNA from 1 species
CGAACGCUGGCGGCAGGCCUAACACAUGCAAGUCGAGGGAGAAGGUCACUUCGGUGACUGGAGACCGGCAGACGGUGAGUAACACGUGGGAACAUACCGAGUAGUGGGGGAUAACAGUUGGAAACGACUGCUAAUACCGCAUACGCCCUUCGGGGAAAGAUUUAUCGCUAUUCGAUUGGCCCGCGUUAGAUUAGCUAGUUGGUAAGGUAACGGCUUACCAAGGCGACGAUCUAUAGCUGGUUUGAGAGGAUGAUCAGCCACACUGGGACUGAGACACGGCCCAGACUCCUACGGGAGGCAGCAGUGGGGAAUAUUGCGCAAUGGAGGAAACUCUGACGCAGCCAUGCCGCGUGAGUGAAGAAGGCCUUAGGGUUGUAAAGCUCUUUCAGAUGCGAUGAUGAUGACAGUAGCAUCAAAAGAAGUUCCGGCUAACUUCGUG